UAGGGAUUAACCAUGUGAGUCUCUCUAGUGCAUUUAUUCAAACUUUUUACACUGCAAAUUGAUCUGAACAGGGAUUGUCUUCUUUCUGUGUUUAUGCAUUAUCUACCUCAACUGUGGCUGUUGAGAAGUAUCAUCAUGAGGUGCCAUCAUGCUGUACUGACAAAAUACACUUCAUCUAUCAAAGAGCUGCAAAGGAAGGAGGAAAAAUGGAGUGAUGCCAGCUGCACAACUGGUACAACAGCCACUUCCUAAGCACUAGGGAGAAUUCCUGGUUUUUUUUAUGCAAAGGACCAGAAGAAAGAUGGUUAGGAGGGGGCCUACACCAUGCUUCCCUCUAAAAUACCUGCGGAACACUGAUGAAUAUCUCUUGUCUUCCUGUAUUGUAAACUGCUUCCAUAUGGGUUAAAAGGAGGAGUUUGCUAACAUAAUAAACUACUUGAAAGCACUAAGAAAUCAAAAAGCUGGUUUGUCUGAGUUCUUCUCCAUGUCUUUUGGAAAAGAGCUCUCGUACCAGACAGUGGAAUGCCCUGUAGGCUUUUCCAUUGUUACAGUGGUGAAAAGGGUUUCUCAUACCUGCAAGAACACUUUUUUUUUAUUUAAAGGUAUAAAAAAUUGCUGUCCUUCAUAAUAAA